rnacentral:rRNA from 1 species
GUCAUAUGCUUGUCUCAAAGAUUAAGCCAUGCAUGUCUAAGUAUAAGCAAUUUAUACUGCGAAACUGCGAAUGGCUCAUUAAAUCAGUUAUCGUUUAUUUGAUAGUACCUUACUACUUGGAUAACCGUGGUAAUUCUAGAGCUAAUACAUGCUAAAAACCCCGACUCGCGGAGGGGUGUAUUUAUUAGAUUAAAAACCAAUGCCCUUCGGGGCUCUUUGGUGAUUCAUAAUAACUUCUCGAAUCGCAUGGCCUUGCGCCGGCGAUGGUUCAUUCAAAUUUCUGCCCUAUCAACUUUCGAUGGCAGGGUCUUGGCCUGCCAUGGUUACAACGGGUAACGGAGGGUUAGGGCUCGACCCCGGAGAAGGAGCCUGAGAAACGGCUACUACAUCCAAGGAAGGCAGCAGGCGCGCUAAUUACCCAAUCCCGAUACGGGGAGGUAGUGACAAUAAAUACUGAUACAGGGCUCUUUUGGGUCUUGUAAUUGGAAUGAGUACAAUUUAAAUCCCUUAACGAGGAACAAUUGGAGGGCAAGUCUGGUGCCAGCAGCCGCGGUAAUUCCAGCUCCAAUAGCGUAUAUUAAAGUUGUUGCAGUUAAAAAGCUCGUAGUUGAACCUUGGGCCUGGCUGGCCGGUCCGCCUCACCGCGUGCACUGGUUCGGCCGGGCCUUUCCCUCUGGGGAACCCCAUGCCCUUCACUGGGUGUGGCGGGGAACCAGGACUUUUACUGUGAAAAAAUUAGAGUGUUCAAAGCAGGCCUAUGCUCGAAUACAUCAGCAUGGAAUAAUAGAAUAGGACGUGCGGUUCUAUUUUGUUGGUUUCUAGGACCGCCGUAAUGAUUAAUAGGGACAGUCGGGGGCAUCAGUAUUCAAUUGUCAGAGGUGAAAUUCUUGGAUUUAUUGAAGACUAACUACUGCGAAAGCAUUUGCCAAGGAUGUUUUCAUUAAUCAGGAACGAAAGUUAGGGGAUCGAAGACGAUCUUUACAGAUGCAAACCUUUCUGAUCAUAUGUUUGGUCACUAUUCUUUUAGUGGGUAUCUGGUCGUCAAUAGUUCAGUGAGAGCUGAGCUAGUCUGCUGAAAGUCAGUGGGCGACACCGUCAAAUUGCGGGGACAUCCUUAGAGCCUUUAUCACACCUUGCGGCUAGAAAUAGCAGUAAGUCGUAACAAGGUAACAGAUUGGACAAUCCGCAGCCAAGUCCGUAAAGCCUACCCUGUAGGCAGGAUGCAGUUCACAGACUAAAUGUCGGUGGGAGGUUUAGCCUCUUAAGAUAUAGUCGAAUCGUACCUGAAAGGGCUACGGAUACGUGAGAGGCC